rnacentral:rRNA from 1 species
GCAUUUUGCAAUAUCAGGUAGCUUGUCUGACCUUGUCUGAGCUCAGAUGCUAGACCUGAUUAGUAGUUGAAUGUGAGAUCUUCAGGCAAUCUUGAGGCUAUAGGCU